UUAGUCAUAUGCUUGUCUCAAAGAUUAAGCCAUGCAUGUCUAAGUAUAAGCAAUUAUACCGUGAAACUGCGAAUGGCUCAUUAAAUCAGUUAUCGUUUAUUUGAUAGUACUUUACUACUUGGAUAACCGUGGUAAUUCUAGAGCUAAUACAUGCUGAAAACCCCAACUUCGGGAGGGGUGUAUUUAUUAGAUAAAAAACCAACGCCCUUCGGGGCUUCUUGGUGAUUCAUGAUAACUUCACGGAUCGCAUGGCCUUGCGCCGGCGACGGUUCAUUCAAAUUUCUGCCCUAUCAACUUUCGAUGGUAAGGUAUUGGCUUACCAUGGUUUCAACGGGUAACGGGGAAU
rnacentral:rRNA from 1 species